GUCCAAAUAGCUCAGUUGGUAGAGCAAAGGACUGAAAAUCCUUGUGUCGGCAGUUCGAGUCUGCCUUUGGACA
rnacentral:tRNA from 3 species